ACAGGAAAGAAAUUGCACUAUAGAUUGAUAGCCUUAUCCUACAGACAGUGAGUAUUCAUAGAUAGUAACUUGACAAAGCAAAGCUAUUAACUUACAUUGUUUCGGUAGAUAUUGCUAAAUGAGGGAAGUAUCCACUGAAAUUGCUAUGCAGAGUAAAUAAAUGUGUAUUUCAAUACAUGACUUUUCAGACAAUUCAGACAACUAAUUCUUAAACCUAUUUAGACAUACAUUAGCACUCAAAAUUUGACUAUUCAUCAAACAAUUUUUUUCCCUAAGUGAGAUUGAAUUGAACAACUUAGAUAGUUUCAUAGUUAGUGAAGUGAAUUCCACUGUUCAUGCUGAACCACCACCCGGAUGAGGUUAUUAACCGUGUAGGGUGCACCCUUCCACCACUUAGUCAUUCCUAAAUCUCAGUAGCCACAACUUCCCUAAUAAGAGAAAAAAAGGUGGCGACGACCCAGAAAGAGGGGAUCACCAUUGGACGAUUCGAUGGCAUCUCCACGUCUUAGAUAACAAAUGGUUACCAAUGAUAAGCCCUUUACAAAAGUUAACAUGAUUACAAGCCAUGAGGCAGCAUCCAUAAAACCACUGGCUAGAUAUAUUCUGAACCUUGCAUUGUUCUGUUCCAACAGAUAAAUGAAAGAGAAUCAAUUAUUUCAACUCUAAAUAUAUGUAGAAUGAAUAGGAUACCUGUCUGAAUGUAUAUUAAUAUAUAUAUAUAUAUAUAUAUAUAUAUAUAUAGUAUAGUUAAAAAUUUCCUUGUCUAGAAUGGGUAGCAAGUAUUACCCAUGCCCACCGCUAGUGAUUUUGUUUGAUGUUUAUAUUCUCAUUGCAUUUAUCUCUCUUAUCAUUGAAAUUACAUUCUUCAAAUAGAACAGUUGGAAUUAUAAUUUGUAGUUGUGAAUUUAUGAAAUUAAUUAAAAACUUUAAGAUUAUAGUGCAUGAAUAAUUGGUUGAUUUAGACUAUUUAACAAAAAAAAUAUAAAAUCUAUGCACUAAAUAAUAUAAAAAUUAUACACAUCCACGAUCCAUUUAAAUUUUUUUUGUUGAAAAAUCAACAAUAAUAUUAAAUAACACAAUUAAAACGUAUAAAACUCAUAUUCAGUGUAUACAUCUUUUUCUCUUUAACAAAAGUAUUUAAAGGAGUUGAAAAAUGUUAUAUAUCUAAAAAGACCAUGUAAUAUAUUUUUAUUUGUUUGGAGUAACGAUAUAUCUUAUGAUAAAAUUAAUCUACAAACUUGUAAACUAAUUAUGUAGGAAAUUGUUUGCAUGUUUAUAAAAAUUUACGUAGAGUAAAAACAAUACAACAUACAUGGUAGUAAUGGGUCUACAUCUCACUUAUUUAUGUUACUUCAUAUAUCAUGUAAUAUGAUUGGUUAUAAAAAUAUUUAAUAAUUACAAUUUUAAUUUAAAUAAUUUUUUCAAUCAAUGAAAGUCGUGGUAUAUGGAAUGUUACAAAAAAAAUAAGACACUCCUAGUAACGGAGGAAUCUCUUAUUACAUGACUAGUUCCUAGCUAUUUUAUUUAAACUGACGUAUUUGAUAAGCUUGUUUUCUAUUUAUCUAACUCAGCUGUGAUCAUAUGUACUUGGCACAUUGAACUCAUUAAUUACCUUUAUUAAAUGAAUUUAUAGGUUAAAUAUUAUUAACUUUCAAACAAAAAAUUAAAUGAAUUUAUAGGUUAAAUAUCAUUAACUUUUAAACAAAAAUAAUACAAAUUAAUGGUAAAUAAUUUAUGGACAAUAUAAAAAACUUUAUUCAUAAAUAUUAAACUUUUUAAAUUAUGCGUACAUUCCCGUGUUAUUGUAGUCGGAAACAUUAAAUUAUGGUAAUCAUUAGCAAAACCAAUGAGAAAAACUCAAAAACAUAUAUCAUAGUAAAAGUUUUAUAUAUUGUGAAUCAUUGUUUAUUUUCAAUCAACAUCAGUUCUUCAAAUAAUAUUAUUAAUGAAUGAUAGAUUGUGCAUUGUCUAUAUAUAUAUCUUUAUACUGACAGUGUAUAAAUGUUACACUAAAACCCAAAUAUUAAUGAGAAAAAGUGUAUUAUGAGUGUAAAAUUUGUAUACACUAUCAAUCUAUCAUUUAUUUUCGAUCAUUAUUGCUCUUCACAAAAAUAUAGAAAUAAAUAGUAAAUGAUAUAUUAAUGGUUAUAAAUCUUUACAAUGAAAUGCCAGAUAUUACACUCGUUAUUAAUAGCUCUAUUUCUAUUUAGCAUGUCUGAAUGUGGGUUGCAGCGCAUUUUUGUGUUCAUGUCUUCAAUACUAUUCCAAUCAAUUUUAUGCAGUUCCAAGAAUGCUAUUAUCAUAAAAAUCCACCCUCACUGGAAAAAUAAUAUUCAAGAUGCUUUUCUAGGGGCAAAUUUAGUAAAAGUAGUAACUGGUGAAGGUAUUGCAUCUCUUCUUCUACACCUUCCAAUGUGGGUAUAUAUGCUCUUGGAUUGAAAUAAAUAUGGCUGUGAUGGAACAUUAUGGUCCUGGUGGGUAUAUAAUGCUUGACCAUCAAGUCUAAAGUUCUUUAUGGUAUUAAUCAAAGACUGAAUAUUCUGGAGCUUAUCACUAUGCAUUCAUACGUAUAUAAAGUAAGAUAAAAAUCAAUAUGCGUUCAUAUCAUUAGGACCGUGCACUGAACAAAACUGUGAAAGUUUAUAUAUUAAUUAAUAAAUUGUAAUUAUUGAACACAUGGGUAGUCUAUAGAAUUGGAUUCUCUUUAUAGCAACUAAUCAUGCUCCCUAUAUUAAUAUAUUUAAAAGUUACAUCCAAUUUUGUAGUUUUGAGUAUUGCUGUUUUAAAGCUUCAGAUAAAAGCCUUUUUUAUCAUGAGAAAGCUAAAGCUAGGUGGUGAUUGAUGGUGACACAUGAUAUUACAAACACGAAUAGAAUGUAUAGAAGAAACUACCAAAUUGAAAAUGACAAAUGAUGCUAACUCUUCAAAAAACAGGAAAGAAAUUGCACUAUAGAUUGAUAGCCUUAUCCUACAGACAGUGAGUAUUCAUAGAUAGUAACUUGACAAAGCAAAGCUAUUAACUUACAUUGUUUCGGUAGAUAUUGCUAAAUGAGGGAAGUAUCCACUGAAAUUGCUAUGCAGAGUAAAUAAAUGUGUAUUUCAAUACAUGACUUUUCAGACAAUUCAGACAACUAAUUCUUAAACCUAUUUAGACAUACAUUAGCACUCAAAAUUUGACUAUUCAUCAAACAAUUUUUUUCCCUAAGUGAGAUUGAAUUGAACAACUUAGAUAGUUUCAUAGUUAGUGAAGUGAAUUCCACUGUUCAUGCUGAACCACCACCCGGAUGAGGUUAUUAACCGUGUAGGGUGCACCCUUCCACCACUUAGUCAUUCCUAAAUCUCAGUAGCCACAACUUCCCUAAUAAGAGAAAAAAAGGUGGCGACGACCCAGAAAGAGGGGAUCACCAUUGGACGAUUCGAUGGCAUCUCCACGUCUUAGAUAACAAAUGGUUACCAAUGAUAAGCCCUUUACAAAAGUUAACAUGAUUACAAGCCAUGAGGCAGCAUCCAUAAAACCACUGGCUAGAUAUAUUCUGAACCUUGCAUUGUUCUGUUCCAACAGAUAAAUGAAAGAGAAUCAAUUAUUUCAACUCUAAAUAUAUGUAGAAUGAAUAGGAUACCUGUCUG
rnacentral:lncRNA from 1 species